GAUGAACGCUGGCGGCGUGCCUAAUACAUGCAAGUCGAGCGAAUGGAUUAAGAGCUUGCUCUUAUGAAGUUAGCGGCGGACGGGUGAGUAACACGUGGGUAACCUGCCCAUAAGACUGGGAUAACUCCGGGAAACCGGGGCUAAUACCGGAUAAUAUUUUGAACUGCAUGGUUCAAAAUUGAAAGGCGGCUUCGGCUGUCACUUAUGGAUGGACCCGCGUCGCAUUAGCUAGUUGGUGAGGUAACGGCUCACCAAGGCAACGAUGCGUAGCCGACCUGAGAGGGGGAUCGGCCACACUGGGACUGAGACACGGCCCAGACUCCUACGGGAGGCAGCAGUAGGGAAUCUUCCGCAAUGGACGAAAGUCUGACGGAGCAACGCCGCGUGAGUGAUGCUGGCUUUCGGGUCGUAAAACUCUGUUGUUAGGGAAGAACAAGUGCUAGUUGAAUAAGCUGGCACCUUGACGGUACCUAACCAGAAAGCCACGGCUAACUACGUGCCAGCAGCCGCGGUAA
rnacentral:rRNA from 1 species